UACGAAGGGGGCUAGCGUUGCUCGGAAUCACUGGGCGUAAAGCGCACGUAGGCGGCUCUUUAAGUCAGGGGUGAAAUCCUGGAGCUCAACUCCAGAACUGCCUUUGAUACUGAGGGGCUCGAGUCCGGGAGAGGUGAGUGGAACUGCGAGUGUAGAGGUGAAAUUCGUAGAUAUUCGCAAGAACACCAGUGGCGAAGGCGGCUCACUGGCCCGGUACUGACGCUGAGGAGCGAAAGCCAGGGGAGCAAACGGG
rnacentral:rRNA from 1 species